UACGUAGGGUGCAAGGCGUUGUCCGGAAUUAUUGGGCGUAAAGAGCUCGUAGGCGGUCUGUCGCGUCUGCUGUGAAAACUCAGGGCUUAACCCCUGAGCUUGCAGUGGGUACGGGCAGACUAGAGUGCGGUAGGGGAGACUGGAAUUCCGUGGUGUAGCGGUGAAAUGCGCAGAUAUCAGGAAGAACACCCGUGGCGAAAGCGGCUCUCUAGGAACGGU
rnacentral:rRNA from 1 species